GCCAGGCUGCAAGGGCGGCCCCUCUGCACCCACUGCCCCCAGCAUAAACAUCGAAGAAUUCCUGAAAAGUCAGGAAUAUCUCUGUCAUCUGUGUUAUGUUUCUAUUUCAUUUUCAGCCUGUAUAUAGCAGAAUGUAUAAGCAUAAAAUUCCAUUAUAGAUUUAGGGACCUUUGGACGGGGGGCGUCCUACUCAUAAUCCCCUGGUGAAAUCUCGGGUAGGGACAGCCCGUGUGUUACUUGGGGAUCAACAUGAAGUUGUCUUAGGGGAAAAACAAAUAGCUCGACUAUGGAAAACAAGAAUAGGAUGGUGAAAUCCUGGUAUUUACCAAGGCCCUUUUUUGUGAUUAAACCACCACCCACACAUGACCCCAUAAAAGUGGAAAAACAAAAGGCAGUGAGUUCUCUCAGCCAAUCUCUCAGCCAAUUACAGGUCAACUUUCUCGUCCACCCCGCUCACUGCUGCGCUUGACUGGUCUUUGGGUAUAGAGAUUGGGCUAAUUGUCCUUGGCAUAAUCGUGGACAAUAUGACGUAACCCAAAGUGGCUGGGCUUCAAGAACUUGACCACCCUGGACAAGAUGGACAAAGCCUAUGUAACAAUGAUUUUGCAAAAAGAUUAAUUGUUAUAAAAACUGUGGAAGGUAUUGCAAGAUUAAGCAUAAGUGUAAAGCAAUAUGAAGUCAAUUAUUAUUUUGUGUAAAAAUAUAUCAACAAAAUAUUCUCUUCAAUUAAACAAAAAACUCAUUGUACUUGUGUAUGUAUGCGGAACUGUAUUAUGUGUCACUUGGAAAAUUAUGUCUCUGGGAAAUGAUGUUUAUGAUUAUAUCUUGUACUGCCCCUUUAUUGAUCAUGCGAUGUUAUGCUUUUGUAAGCUUAUGAUAUAAAAGACCAUGUAAAAAAUAAAGAGCAGAGCUUUCUUUUUCUGCAGAAUGAAAAUAUAAGACACUCUACCGCUCAUUCUUUUUUCGCCGAACUCUACCCCUCCUCUGGUAACCCUGUUCAUUGCUGAGGCUGGCCCCCGGCAACUGGCGCCCGAACAGGGACCUGAAGGUAAGCAACGUCGUCUCGGGGUAGAUAGGGCUGUUGCCUAGAGCUAAAUAAGAAAGGAGAAAAGCUCCCUUUAGCCACCCCGUCGUUAGAGAGGACGGGGAUAGGAAAGGAAAGAUAGGCAAAACAUAUGAGAAGUUGUUAGACCCCUGUAUAAGCAGGAGAAUACUAGAAAAACACUAUGGGACAAACAUCCUCUGCAGAAAGAAAACUGUUUAUUGAUAUCAUCACGUGUAUGCUCAAAAAAAGGGGAACCGCAGUGACUAGAAGCCAAGUAGCUCGGUUUUUACAUUUUGUUCAGGAACAAUGCCCCUGGUUCCCAGAGGGAGGCUCGGUUAAUUUGGACAUAUGGAAAGCUGUGGGAGAACAGCUACAAAAACAUUAUACUAGAUGUGGUCCUGAGGGGGUGCCUGUUGAUGCUUUUGCAUUAUGGAUGCUUAUCAGAGAUACUCUUGACCCAACUCCCGAUUCUGUUAAAGCAUUCCAAGUACUAGACAAUCCUGACUCUGACCCCACUUUAGAGGAGGAAGAAACACCUCUGCUUCAGAAACAUCCUUCUGUAGUGUCUACCCCUUCAGCCCCACCCUUUGUUGGUCUAUCUAAUCCAAUCACAAAUGACACUCUGAGCCCGGAGGAGCAAGUCGAUCUAGAGGAGGAGGCUGCUAGAUAUCAUCAAGAUGAGGAUAUUGUUCUUCCUUUACGAAAGUUGCAAAUUGAGUCACAGCCUCCAAAGUAUGAGGUUAAAUCAUUGACCUUUACUCCUCGAAAUAGAGUACCUUUACCUCCCCCACCUCCUUCUCUGGCAGGAAAAUCAAAAAUCAAAGCAUCCUUAAAACAAGGCUUGUCUGAGGGAGACGUUACCCUCCCUUUGUGCUUUCCAGUACAUUAUAGCGAGGAAUUUGAUGAGGAUGCAGAAUGGACUCCUCUUUCUUAUAAAUUCCUCAAGGAGGUUAAAAAUGCCUGCAAAGAAUAUGGACCCCUGUCUCCAUACACAUUGUCGUUAAUAGAUAUUCUGUCAACCAGCUGGAUGACUCCUUAUGAUUGGUAUCAGCUGGCAAAAACCUGCUUACCAGGGGGUAGUUUCUUGUUAUGGAAAAUGGAAAAGACCUGACCCAUUAAUCUCUUGUGGAAGAGGCUAUGCUUGUGUUUUCCUACAGGACAAAACUUCCCCUUUGUGGAUACCCGACAGACUCAUCAGACAUGCAAGACCCAAAAACCACCAAAAAUCCUCCAACACUUUCUCCCUCUCUGCUUACAAACCUAACACCUCUCACGACUCUUCUGAGAAAUCUGUCUCUUGAAAAUGCUCCAUCUACACCCCCACCUUCGCCUGUCUCUAGUUCCUCCUCUUCAUCUUCUACUCCACUCCCUCUCACUGACUUUAUACAACCCUCUACAAACCUCAACAACUCUUCAUCUCGAGACAAAGUGCGGUGGAGAAGCCGGAGACAUACUCCCUAUUCAAGAACCCAUCGAACCAUUGCGGCUGAGCCCCCAACUUGGGGCCAACUCAAAAAAACUUACUCAUCUGGCUCACACCUUAACCGUGGAUCAAUAUAUUCCCGUAAAUGCGGGUACUCUUUUUGUGGCAAUGCUCGCUAUCAUUUCCUGUCAGGUAUGUGUUGUUACGGCUGAUAUACAUUGGGCUUAUGUCCCAAAACCUCCUAUAUUUCAUCCCGUCACCUGGGAAGAUCCUUCCCCCUCUGUAUUUACUAAUAAUUCUGCAUUACUGGGGGGCGAAACCAUAUUUUGGAACCCUCAGGGCUUUAAUUCUAAUUAUUCCUAUUCUGGUAUGUCAGAUAAUCCUCCUAUUUGUAUUCAAUUAAGAAAUUUGCGAAAAACUAUCCCUGGCUGUAUUCCUUUUGGCUUCAAAUCAAUGAUUACUGACUCACCUAAUGGAAAUCAAAACCAACAGCCUUACAGACUAUUAUGGGCUCUACGCCUCAUCCUUCCAGAAAAAACUGACUUUCUUAAAGGUAUCCCGAAAGUACACACUCCUCUUUUUCCUACCUGUGAUAAGUCGCCUCCUGAGGAUUCUAAGAGCAAUCAAGAUUGGGCUAUGAUUGACCCUUCAAAAGGAUUUCCUAUUUGGAGAAAUUGUAUGUAUAAUUCACAAGUUGUAUAUGCUUUGCCUGAAAUGUCUGCACGUCUUAUUGAUUGUAGUAUUUUAAAUCCUGAAGAUGAUUAUCGUCUAUUUUUACAAUCAGCUCGAUAUCGUUUUAAUUGGCAAGAUACCUUAGUCCCUCUCCCACAAAAAGUUAAUCGUUGGCAUAUAAAUGGAUGGGUUCCCCCUAUUCUUUCUACCUUCACGGGUAACAUACAUCCAUCUUUGUGGAGACUGGCAACUGCUGCCGGCAAUGUCACUUUGUCCCGUCCUUUUAAUAAUGAGAGUUUUGAUAUUCAAGCUUGUGUACCUGCUCCAUAUGUGUUAUUAAUUAGCCGCAACAAUCACUCUAGUAUUGUUAUAGAAAACAAGAAAACACAUUAUGUUAGUUCUUGUGAAAAUUGUAUAUUGACCAGUUGUAUAAAUCCUGCAAUUCCUGUCGAAAGUAUGAUGAUUUUACAACAGCCAAAAUAUAUUAUGAUUCCUGUACAUUUACAAGAAGAUUGGUAUGAUGAUUCAGGCCUAGAAGCCUUAAAACAAGCUUCUGCUAUUUUAUCUCGAGCCAAACGGUUUGUAGCAGCUUUAAUACUGGGGAUUUCUGCUCUCAUAGCUUUAGCAACUUCUCUUUCACUUUCUGCUAUGGCGUUAACACAACAGAUUCAUACUGCAAACUAUGUAAAUAAUUUAAGUAAAAAUAUUACUUUAGCCUUAGCCACACAAGAAGCCAUUGAUAGAAAAUUACAACAAGAAGUUAAUGCCCUUGAAGAAGCAAUUCUAUAUAUAGGACAAGAAAUCACUAAUCUCAAAGUGCGACUUACUUUGAGAUGCCAUUCAUCUUCCGAAUCUUAAAUCAAGCUAUCCAAAAGGUGGCUUCAGAUCUUCAUCUGGCGAAAUUAAAAAAUAAGAAAGGGGGAGAUGCUGGGAGCCAGGCUGCAAGGGCGGCCCCUCUGCACCCACUGCCCCCAGCAUAAACAUCGAAGAAUUCCUGAAAAGUCAGGAAUAUCUCUGUCAUCUGUGUUAUGUUUCUAUUUCAUUUUCAGCCUGUAUAUAGCAGAAUGUAUAAGCAUAAAAUUCCAUUAUAGAUUUAGGGACCUUUGGACGGGGGGCGUCCUACUCAUAAUCCCCUGGUGAAAUCUCGGGUAGGGACAGCCCGUGUGUUACUUGGGGAUCAACAUGAAGUUGUCUUAGGGGAAAAACAAAUAGCUCGACUAUGGAAAACAAGAAUAGGAUGGUGAAAUCCUGGUAUUUACCAAGGCCCUUUUUUGUGAUUAAACCACCACCCACACAUGACCCCAUAAAAGUGGAAAAACAAAAGGCAGUGAGUUCUCUCAGCCAAUCUCUCAGCCAAUUACAGGUCAACUUUCUCGUCCACCCCGCUCACUGCUGCGCUUGACUGGUCUUUGGGUAUAGAGAUUGGGCUAAUUGUCCUUGGCAUAAUCGUGGACAAUAUGACGUAACCCAAAGUGGCUGGGCUUCAAGAACUUGACCACCCUGGACAAGAUGGACAAAGCCUAUGUAACAAUGAUUUUGCAAAAAGAUUAAUUGUUAUAAAAACUGUGGAAGGUAUUGCAAGAUUAAGCAUAAGUGUAAAGCAAUAUGAAGUCAAUUAUUAUUUUGUGUAAAAAUAUAUCAACAAAAUAUUCUCUUCAAUUAAACAAAAAACUCAUUGUACUUGUGUAUGUAUGCGGAACUGUACUAUGUGUCACUUGGAAAAUUAUGUCUCUGGGAAAUGAUGUUUAUGAUUAUAUCUUGUACUGCCCCUUUAUUGAUCAUGCGAUGUUAUGCUUUUGUAAGCUUAUGAUAUAAAAGACCAUGUAAAAAAUAAAGAGCAGAGCUUUCUUUUUCUGCAGAAUGAAAAUAUAAGACACUCUACCGCUCAUUCUUUUUUCGCCGAACUCUACCCCUCCUCUGGUAACCCUGUUCAUUGCUGAGGCUGGCCCCCGGCACAUGGGGUCAUUCUGGGUCACAAAUCGACGGGAUGGUUCUUAACAACAACAAUAUUAUGGAACUACUUGUGUCUUCCCAGCUCACUGUUUCCACUUCCUGAAAGGGUUUAGCAAGUUAACAUCUGCCUUUCAUGUCAUUCAGGUGAGUAACAUUUUGCAAAAUAAAUCAGUGCUUGGUAGCAUAUUUUUAGGGCUCUAGAGCCUAAAAUCAAGUGUAGCAGUAUACCUCUCUCCCAAAUUUCCUUUGAAAGGUAUUCAUUUAAUCUAUGGUUGUCAAUCUUAAGGAAAACAGCUAUUAUUCUUGUGGGUGUAAGCUAGAGGUACUAACAUUUUUCAUAAUGAUAAGGUAAUAGACGUUUAUAGAGAUGUUUGCAAAUGCAAAAUUACAUGUGAACACUAAAUUAUAGUAAUAUCAGUUUUCAGAACAUGCACAUUUAGUAGAUAUGAUUACAGAACUCAACUAAUUUGAGUUUGUUUACCUAAGGCCUAUUUACUUUUAAUGGUUGGUCUGUUUCAUGGCUAGCUAAAGUUUUUAACUAUCGUAAUGUCUAAGCUUUUAAGGGCAAG